CACCAAUUUUGUUUUAUUUUUCUCGACAUUAGUAUUUGUGGUUUUGUGAUUAAUCAUACAUAAUAUUAUAAUACUAUAUUGUCUCAUUCUCAGCGUUGUAUAUUAUCAAGUGAUUAUAAAUUCAAUCAUACCUAUCUACUUUGUGGGUACAUAACAUAGAAAAAGAAUAAGAAAAUUAUUUAAAAAUUCAUCAACUAUAUUGUUAAAUAAAGUUAAGCCAUCUUUGCAUUUAACAAAACACUCAUAAAUUUCCUCGAUUUGUUCUAAAUAGGUGAAGUUAGUAACUAACAUGAUGCAUUUAGUAAUCACUAGACUUCACGUUGACGAUUAAGAUAUUUAAUUAGGUAUAAGUUACCUCCAGAUAACAAUCAAUUUCCUGUUUUUGGAAGCUUUGCCAAAAAGUUAACUGAUAAAAGUUUAUGGAGUUGAAGAAGUAUCAGAGUUAAUGAAUGGUCAUUGGGAUUUGACUCUUAUCUAAUAAUCUCGAAGAAUUAUUGAAAAGUUUAUUUUGUUUUUUUUGACAUUUACCUCGCUUCCAAUACUACCGUACGUCGAUAAUGAUAAAAACAAUAAUAAUAAUAAUAUUAAUGAUCGCAUUAAGACGAAUUUGAGUUGUGUGUUCAGAACGUACUAUUAUUCCGUGAUUUAACAAUGAUAUACUUUAUCAAUGGUAAGUAUAUCAAUCUAUUGUUUACUCAAUAAAUUUAUUUCACGAUAUUUUUGUAAUAACAAAUGUAAUUUAAAAUUGGAAUUACGAUUGACAGUAAACAAAUAUUGAUACAUUUCAAUAUAGAUAUUAAAAAAAAUUUAAUUUUAAUCAUAUUAAAAAACGUUAAUUAUUUCAACAAGGCGAAGGCCAAUUGUAACUUUUAAGGGGUGUAACCGCACCCUCCCCCACAACUAAAUGUUCCCCUGUUUAUAGGUAAUAAUAUUAUCUAAGGCAACUCGUGAUCUCUUAUUGAUUUUUUAAUUUUGAAAUGAGUUAUGAGCAUUUAAUGUUUUAAUAUUUUACAUAACUAUAACUCAUUUAAAAAUUAAAAGAUCAAUAAAAACCUACUAGAUGCCCUAGAUAAUAUUACCUUUAAUUUUGAUAAUAAGUAAAUUGACUUUAAUAUUUAAGCCAACAGCAUAAUUGCAUAAAAUUGAUUCCACUGAACGUAACGUUGCCAUGUUUUACGGUAGUAAGCCGGAGACAACACUUGCGGAUAUAUCAUCCUUUUAGUUAAUUAUAGCAAACUCAAAUUAAUAAUUGUUUCUACCAUUUAAAAAUAAAUUAAAAUUUAAUUAAAAUUUAACUUAUGGUAAAACUAUUUAUUCAAAAAUUUCAUAUUAUCGAUCAAUUAUCAUUAAAAAAAAAAAAAAACACGAGUACAAUAACAUAAAAUACCCCGUAUAUAAUAGUAUACGAGAAACAUAUUAUAUAUAUAACAAUGUCAAUCGUGGUAUUAAACCACAGAAAAUCAUUAAAAUUAAUAGUUUAAUAAAUAUAAUUUUUUGACUUAAAAAGUUUUAGUUGAGGUUGGUUUGACCACUUCCCCGCCACACACACACACACACACACACACACUCCACUAAAUACGACUCAAAAUCGAUCGUUUUGUUUGCAAUAAAUAAUAAGACAUUCAGCCAGCAGUCCUACAGUAGUUGUCAUCGUCUCGAUACUCGAAACUAUAUUUUUGGUAGCACUGGCAUAGCUGCAAAAGCUAAAAGGUCUUAGCUACGGUGUUCCGAUCGUCGAACCCUGGCGGCCGAAAUAUUCCAGGCAGCGGCGGCAACUAAUAUUGUCAAUUCCUUGUAGACAAGCCUUGCGGGUCGGAGUAGUCGAACGUGUAAACGUACGAGAUACGAAUAGACGACCGUGAAGCUGGUCUUGUUAUUGAUUUCACUUUAGGUAAACAGUCGUACAAUUAUACAAAACCAUGAAUACUGACAGAAUAUUAAUUUUCGUGUUUUUAACCAUGAUCGCCGUAUCUUUUUUGUUGAGCCUUGGCCAUUUGCCAACAAAUCUCGAACAGAAUAGCUCUAUGAUUAUAUCCAGCGUUUUUAGUCGGCUGCAAAUCGUUGGCAUUACAUUUUAUUCAAUGAUGCGAGUUUAACGACUAAUAGUCCAAUAGUCCAAUAUUUCGAGUUUCCCCUUAAUUACCUACCUACAGUCCCAUGUAAAGUUUGUCUAUAUUAUCCCUCGAUUUUGAAUAAAAAUGGUAGUAACCUAACGUGAAACAUAUUGAAGCAAUGUCGUACCGCGUUUCCACUAUUAUCUAAUGACGUCAUAAGGUACCUGAAUAAAAAAGGUGCUUAAUUUAAUAAUAUAAAAAAAUAGGGUGUAUUGAUAAAGUCAAUUGAUACAUUUACAUCAUUCACAAUUUACCCAACAAAACAAACAUUAUUGAAAAAACAUAUAAGCUGUUAGUAAAGAUGAUGGUUCAACGGAGUGCUGUAGUUUCAGUUCAAGACGGAGAGAUGAAAUACUACAGGAAAACGUCUUUGGAAAUUAAAAUUGAGUCAUUAGAAAAAAUUCAUAAGAUUUGGAAGUUGAAAACCUUCCUCUUCUCUACUGAAGGAAACGACAAUGAACAAAUUGAUACAAAAUAAAGUAUAACAGAGCUUUGUAUUUUACUUGAUAGUAAAAUCAAAAAACAUUGCUUAACUAUCUCAAAUGGACUACACACAACUAGUAGUAUACUAUAAAUGUUACAGUAUUAUAAAUCCUUAUUUCAAAACUUGCUGUACUUAAUGAUGAUUUAUAAAUAGAAAACGUUAAAACUGUGAAUUAACAUGAUGUAUUUAAAAAUACCCAAGUACCUACCAUAUUGAAUGUAUACUUAAAAUUUAAGUAAUUUACUUUUCAUUACAUUUAAGUUAUUUAUAGGUUAUUAUUCAUAAAAUGAAGCCAAAAAU